rnacentral:rRNA from 1 species
UCUUAUAGCCCCACAACCCCCCUAGGCGCCGUGUGCUUGGUUUUAGGUUGGGGCGACCGCGGAGUACAAUAAAACCUCCACAAUGAAUGGGAACACCCCCUUAUCUGAGGGCCACACCCCCUAAGAAUUAGAACACUAACAUAAAAUGAUCCAUUACUUGAUCAAUGAACCAAGUUACCCUGGGGAUAACAGCGCAAUCCAUUUCAAGAGCCCCUAUCGACAAAUGGGUUUACGACCUCGAUGUUGGAUCAGGGUACCCCAGUGGUGCAGCAGCUACUAACGGUUCGUUUGUUCAACGAUUAAAACCCU